rnacentral:lncRNA from 1 species
ACUUCCAAAUAAAAGCACCCAAUGGGAGCUUCCUCUUCUCCCCCCUCUUAAGCCCACGUAUGCCCAAGGGCAGGGGCACACUCCAUUUAUCCAUGCAUGUGCACCAUCAUGUAAGCCACAAGAUCUUCUCAGCUUAUGUCAUGCCAUAACUGUCAUCAUCAUCACCAUCAUCAUCUUGUUCUUAGUUUUGGAGUGUGUGUCUGCAAUGGGAGGCUGUGUGUUAGCUUCACACGCCUGUAGAGCGUGGGCUAAUGGCGGCCAUGGAGGCUAGCUAAGCUGCUGCUGCUUCUUCUUCUUCUUCUUCUUGGGAGAGGAUCGAUCAAUGGCCAUGCAUGGCCUCCAUCGUCGACGGUUUUUACCAUCUACUAAGGUAGGGCAACUUGUAUCCUUUGGCAAUUAAUUAUUCAGUGGGUGUCCGUCUCUCUUGGUGGUGCUGGAGUUUGGAUCGAGACGGGUAGACGAAUCUUGAGUUUGAUCUUGGCUACAUGAGGCUAGCCCAUCAAGAGGGAUGGUGAGAUGGUAUGGAUGUAUGAUGCUCGUGUUUCGCUAUUUGCUAAAAUAAUAUGCUGUUUUUAGUGUUUUUGUUUUUUUUUCUUCUUCUUAUGCUACAUUGUAACCACCCUACGUAUGUACUGGUAUCAUCAAUAAAGUGGAUUUGAUGUAGUAGUUGAGAUUGUGUGCGCCA